rnacentral:rRNA from 1 species
AUGGUGUUAGGCUCUGCUAGUGACAUCACGAACUUGAAGUUCCUCCUGCUCUGCUUUCAGCAGAUGUCUGGUAUUAGGAUCAACUUCGAUAAGAGUGCGGUGAUGGUCUUGGGUUACCCUCAAGACGAAUGUAAGAGCAUCGCGGACCGGCUUAACUAUCAGCUCGGGAGCUUCCCCACAACUUAUUUGGGGAUCCCCAUUAGUGACUCGUGGCUAACUGUAGCCGAGCUGCGCCCUACGGUGGGCAAGCUCCAGCACCGCAUCGAACCUUGGCAAGGGCAAUGGCUUUCAAAAGCAGCUCGGACCGUGCUCAUUAACUCCUCCUUGUCCAGCCUGCUCCUAUUCAUUAUGAGCUUCUACAGCCUGCCCGAGACGCUGCAUCACGAGAUAGCUCGCGUCCAGGGCCGCUUCUUCUGGGCUGGUGAGGGCGAUAAGCAGAAGUACCACAUGGUGCGGUGGACUGAGAUAUGCAAGCCUCGUGAUCAGGGCGACCUCGGGAUCAUGUCCUCCAAAUGCAUGAACAUCGCUCUGCUGACUCGAUGGCUCUGGCGGAUCGCAAACGGAGAGGGUUGUCUGUGGCUCCGCAUCAUCCAGCAGAAAUACCUCCGUGGCCAGCCUCUCGCCUUCUGUUAG